GCGAUCAAGCUCAUUCUUACUUCUAACAAAGCUUGUAGUCCUCUUAUUUGCAGUAAGGGUUUUAAAUAUGGACAACACAGCAGCUGCACUAACUGUAGAGGGGGCACCAGCAGAGAAUGUAGCCACAUUGUCUUGGUAUGUCACAUGAUAAUGUUUCAUUAAACUAGUAAGUAAUUCCUGAGCCUCUGUAACAUAUUUUCCAGCAGCCUCUUCUCCAAAAAGAGCAAUAUAGCAAGCAUGUAACAUUGUCAUCUUAAGACGUGGAUCAAGAAUAACAGCAACAGCCAUAAGACCAUGGAUGUCAGCCCAAUACUUAUCAUACUUUUCUAUCAUGGCAGCAGACAUGUUCCUAAUAGUUUCAUCUUCAUCAUGACCCCAAGAGUUGAGUUUAAGUUUAAUCUCACAUACUUUAGGAAAGAACAGGUUAGCUGUAACAUAUUUUGUCCCAGAAAAUAACUCAGUAAGCUCAUAGAAUAUCCCUAAUUUCUCACAAACAUUAGUAGCAAAUGUCCAAUCAUCUGCUGCUGGACAAUCAUAGUUCCUAUCGAGCUCACCCAAACGUUCAAAAACCUUCCUAUAAGGUAUAGCAAUGCUAAGCAUGAUGUAGGUUGAGUUCCAUCUAGUUUUGCAGUCUAAAUGCAACUUCUUGUCCAAUUCAACAUUUUCAUCUAGAGCAGUUUUCUCAAACUUUUCGUACCUUUUUGGAGUAGCAAUCCAAUAAGCAACACUUUCUCGGAUGUGCGCAACUGCAGUUCCAAUUACUACCAUGCCAUCUUUCACAAUGAGGUUGAGAAUAUGUGCACAACACCGCAUGUGCAGCCAUUUUCCUUUCAAUAGCAUAUUAG
rnacentral:lncRNA from 1 species